UGAAUUGUAAGAAUAGAGUGCGGAUUGCUUGGCUGUUCAAAAUUUGUUGCUUAUAAGGGUAAUUAUGUCUUUUUUCCUUAAAUUAAAAUUGAUGCGGGAAUGGAAAAUCCCAGUAAAUUUGGGCGCUGAUUCGUAUUCUCUUCCACUCAGCCAUAACUCUCUCCCAUUAAUUCAAAACUGAAUCCAUUAUCUCUCCCCCAAUCGACAUAUCUCUCUCCAAAUCUCCCCAAUCAGCGAUUUUCUGCUGCUCAUCUUUACUGCUCGCGACUCAUCGGCGAUUUUCCGCGACUCAUCAUCGAUUUAUGCUACUCAUCAAUCCCGCUCCAUCAGCGAUUUCUCCAAGAUCAGCGAUUUCUGCUCCACCAGUCGUUACUCUCUGCCAAACGUGGCUAGAUUUCCGUUUUUUGUUGCUUAGUCUGACUGCUUAGUGAUUAAUUAGGUUGUAUUGCGUAGUAAUUAUCGUGCUAUUGCUUUUUUUUUUCCGUACUGAUUAUCACCAGCAUCCGUGCAAAAUUCAGUAUGCUUAGUGUUUGUGUUGAUUGAUUCUUGUUUCUAUUGUUCCCUAGUUUGCUUCAUUCCAUAUCCGACUGAUGCUGCUUUGUGUAUACUAAAUUCCUGAGUUAUAGCCUUUAGGGAGAAAGGAAGAAAGACCGUGAUUUGCGUUUUUGCAGGGUUGUUAAAAUUGAUUCAUACCCUAUCAGUUUCUGGAUUGCAUUUGUAUGAAUCCUUUGCUUACGUUUCUGCACCAGCACUCAGGAAGAAUUCUUGUUUCUGGAUUGCUUCAUUCCAUACUAAUUGCUUAAGGAUGUCCACUUCUUCCCAGCACUCGAGCAGAACGUGGCCGAGGUUUGAGGCAGUGGUAUGUGAUCACAGCCUUGAAGCUGAUGUGGUGACAUCCAAUACAGAUGCCAAUCCCGAACGAUGCUUCUAUCGUUGCCAAGUCUGGAAUGAGGACGACUGCAAAUUCUUUCGUUGGAUUGAUCCAUCAUUGUCACCGAAUCAAGAGUACUUCUUCAUAAAAUUGAAGAUUGAUAGGGACAAUGUGCAAAAAGCAUUAAGAGAUAGAGUUGCUAAGCAGGAUGCACUUGACGAGAGCCUCCGUUCCAAAACCGCUGAAGUUGAAGCACUCCAAGGCGUUGUCGCAGAUUUGCAUCGUCAAAACCGGAACCUAAAGGUUGUCAUUUGCAUUUUAUGUAUCGUCAUUUGGCUAUUGUCGUAGCUUAACUAAUAGAACUCCAAUGUAAUAGUAUAUGCAAGUUGAACUAAAGUGUAAUACACUACGGAACCAGGAAUAUUGUAGUGGUUUUUCCCCUAUAAAUACAUUGAGUUAUUUUGCGCAGUGA